GACGAACGCUGGCGGCGUGCCUAACACAUGCAAGUCGAGCGGGGUUGAGGCGAGAGGUAACUCGAACUUCUACCUAGCGGCGGACGGGUGAGUAACGCGUGGGCAAUCUGCCUCAAGGUUUGGGAUAACAGCCCGAAAGGGCUGCUAAUACCGGAUAUGCCUAUGGCCUCGCAUGGGGCUAUGAGCAAAGGGGAAACCCGCCUUGAGAUGGGCCCGCGUCCCAUCAGCUAGUUGGUGAGGUAACAGCUCACCAAGGCGACGACGGGUAGCCGGCCUGAGAGGGUGACCGGCCACACUGGGACUGAGACACGGCCCAGACUCCUACGGGGGGGCAGCAGUGGGGGAUCUUGCACAAUGGGCGAAAGCCUGAUGCAGCGACGCCGCGUGAGCGAAGAAGGCCUUCGGGUUGUAAAGGCUCUGUCUGGAGGGACGAAGGAAGUGACGGUACCUCCGGAGGAAGCCACGGCUAACUACGUAGCCAGCAGCCGCGGUAAACUGUCUCUA
rnacentral:rRNA from 1 species